rnacentral:sRNA from 1 species
UCAAAGACUUUCCAUUGGAAGUUUUGC